AGGGGGGACUCUCUCUCUCUGCGCGUAUUCUCUCUCAGAGACGCUCUCUCUCUCCCUGGUUCCCGCUCUCUCGGCUAAACGACCGAACGGACUCGCACACUCCCUCUCUUUCGCGGUAACAACCUACUCUCUCUCUCAAUUUCUUCCCGAUCUCGGAGGCCGACGAAGAACCCUCCGGCACCGGCCAUGGCUCCGCUCCCUCCCUCGACGAUCACCUCCAAGUCUCGCGGUGCUCCUCUUGAGAAGUAGCGCGCCGGAUCCGGCAUCCUCACAAUCGGAGACUCUCUCUCUCUCGAUCAACUCUAGAAGACGGAACAACUGUUGAUCGAGGAACUCGUGGUGCGAGACUCGAAAUCGCGCCAAGCUGUGGGAGAUAUCAGUUCGGUUCCGAGGGUAGGGAUCCGAAGGCAGUGACAUCGGCGGUCGGAGAUCAGUGCUUUCUCUCGGUUGGAGCUCGAUCAGUUAGGGUUUUCCUUUAUUGGCGCGAUCGGAGGUGCGGGAGCUCGCCGGAUCGAACUCUCUCUCGAUCGUUCAUUCUCUCUCUAGAUCUGGGUUCCGGUUCAGCUCCAAGGGUUGAGCUCCGAGACCGAUCGACGACAUCGGCGGUGACGGCAACAACGGUGACGAUAGGACGUUUAACCGUUUCUCUCUCGGCUCUGUCGUUUGCUCGACGAUUUGACUUGCUUGAACGGCCGGUCGAGGAGUUUGGAGUUAAGAGUUCAGACACCGUCGACGGUGUCCAUAAAGACCAAAGUCGCAUGGGUCCGCGAUGUGCUCCGGGAAGACCGAUUCGUAUGAGUUGCAGGUAAGACUUCAAAGCAAGUCCCGGAAGAGUACCCGUACAAAGACGAUGAAUAAGCUCAUCUGUUUGCGGUUCAUCAUGACCUUUUUCAUCGCCCUGUAUCCGGCAGGGGAGUGUCAAAUAGCUCAUCUAUUCUCUCUGGUAUUGCAGAGAGUGUCGAUGCCGGAGGCUUCUAGAUUUCAGCCGUUAUAUGCAGUUGCUCUUCGCCAAACCGAACCCAAUGUGACUGCAAAUUGACCCUUGAUUCAAUUCUUCUUCUUCAUCUUUUCUUUUGUUGACUUAAUUUUGGAACAGAUAUCAAAGAAAUGGACACUCUACUCUAGAGACAAAUUGGCAACAACUUUCUUUAGUCUUCGACAACGAAGUGAUAGAUUGCAAUUGUCGUGGCGCAAAAGUGAUAGACAACCAUCGCCAGUUCUUGAGCGCUAGCGACACCACACAAGAUCAAAAAACAACUCGCAGCUCUUCUUUUCUUGGCCUUCUUUGCCGCCGCUGUCUUCACGUGGCUCCCACGGAGCGCGUCCAAGCCCAAUUGCUCUAUCCAGCAGUCCUACCUCCCAGCACUCAACAGAUCUUCGGACACUUCCAAG